GAAAUGCGAUAAUUAAUGUGAAUUGCAGAAUUCAGUGAAUCAUCGAGUCUUUGAACGCACAUUGCGCCCCCUGGUAUUCCGGGGGGCAUGCCUGUCCGAGCGUCAUUGCUGCCCUCAAGCACGGCUUGUGUGUUGGGCUUCCGUCCCUGGCAACGGGGACGGGCCCAAAAGGCAGUGGCGGCACCAUGUCUGGUCCUCGAGCGUAUGGGGCUUUGUCACCCGCUCCCGUAGGUCCAGCUGGCAGCUAGCCUCGCAACCAAUCUUUUUAACCAGGUUGACCUCGUAUCAGGUAGGGAUAUCCGCUGCACUUAAGC
rnacentral:misc_RNA from 1 species